GGAAGAUCUUACAAUUUAUUAAAAAAAAGUUUCUGUACUACAAGUGUGGAUUCAGAAUGCUACUAAUAAACGGAAAAAAAUAAGUUUUUGAUCUCUUGUUAAGUAGAUUUCCAUGUUGUAAUCUGUUGCAGAAUAAUCCUCAAGUCUUAGUAACUUCGAGCAGUGGCCUGCGACCAACUUAUAAAAACAUCACAGAAAGGGAUUAACUCGUAGCGAUCCCUUAACAAAUAUCUGCAUGUUUUUAGUUUCAUUGUUUAAAUUGCUAGUUUCAAAUCUAUUAGUCACCUUGUCAAUUGUAGUUGAUGCGACAGAUCACGAUACAGAAAUACCCACCUCUUGUUUUUAUUGAAAAGGCUUUUCCUUUCAUUCAAAUGCAGUAAAGCAAAUUUUAAGUAUUGAUAUUUUUAAUUAAAUGUAUAUUGGGAAGAAAAGGGUAAGAUCUGAUAGUGGGGUUAGACCCGGUAGCUUGAUUCCGUUGAAAUUAGUUCCAUUUUCUAAUGAAUAAACUCUGAGUAACACUUUACUAGUCAAGAAGAACAACUACCAUUUUUUUGUAUUGCAGUUGAUUAAUUCAAGUCGUCUUGGUAAAUAAGUUUGAGUGUUUCCUUAUUUUGAGUUGCCCACCCGGUGUAGAAAAGACUGAAACAGUCAAAGCUUUAUGUAAAUCUCUUAAUAUUGAGUAAUUUAUUUGGUCAAAUAAGCAUCAGGAAAAUGCUAAGCACAAAUGAUGGCAUGUUCUGCUUUGGAGAUCAGAUAACCUCUAGGGAAACUCAAGCUCAGUCCUUAUGUCUAUUUCUCUUACAAUCUUCAAAAUAUUUUUACAUUCAAAUGGAGUUUCCAAAUGUGAAUAAGAGAUCCAAUCCUGCUUCAUUGCAUUCUAAGGAGGUGUUAGAUAAGACAUCUAUUUCUGCAGAAUCUUUAAUUUUUUUGAGAGAGAAUUUAUUCCCUUUAUUGAUAACAUUGAAGAUAACUUUGAAUGUGCACUUUGGUUAAGUGAUGCUGAUUACGUGAGUGCUCUAUGAAUUUUACGAUGCUGUUGCUAAAAAUGCUGCUAUUGCCAACUGGCAGGGAGAUUAAAUUACAGAGUAUGUCAUCGAAUUUGAAUCAAGAUAACUGAUUUUUUGUUAUAAUCAGCUUUGUUGGCACUAACAAAGGAGUUAGGAAUUAUGAAAGUAAAAAAGUUUUUUAGACUUAAUCUGGAACAGAAGCAACUAUGCAACUACUUCUAAAUUAUGCUGACAGGCUAACUACUUAUGAGAUAAUCCUAGGUGAUGCUGUUGCAGCACAACAGCAUUUUGAUCCCAAGUUUUUCAAACAAUUCCGAUCCCAAUGUGGCCUGGAAGCGACCAUUCAGUUUUCUUUUCGGUUCUCUUUAAUUUGAAAGCGGUAGUAACGCCCUUCACUUAUAUGGGAGCAGAAGCACCGCCUGGAAAUACUCAGUUAUUUUCCUGAGACCACUUCACCUUCCGAGUCUCUGUUACCUCUUUACAACAGUGAUUUAGAUAUGGUUUUUUAUCAAUGGCAUGAACAAAAAGUUAGAGAGCCUGAUUGGUGUGAAAAUGAAUUUGACAAGAUUGUUAUCCCCGAAGAAUACAUAGAAGAAUUUUAUGAAAAAAUAAAGGGCUAGUGAAAUAUAGAGUCGUGACACAAUGAAUGAUUGUAUGGUGCCUUUGGCAUCUAGAGGUCUGAUGUUAAAUUUAUUCUUUAGGAAUAAGUGGAGAGCGCUGCACAAACCUCAGUUUCAUGAAAGUUUUUCUAAGCUCACGUAGCACAAAUGAAGGAAUUAGGAAAUAUGAAAAUAAAAACGUUUUUUAGGCAAUUAAUUAUCAUUUUGUGUUCAAAUUUUUAAAUUUUAAAACCUUGUAAUGAUACAAUCUACUAAUUAAGUCAAAUAUUCUUUGAAACAAUUAAAUUCUCUUCAAUUUGGU